AUUGAUUUCCCAGAUUUCCAUUGUUUAGUUAGCCCGUCUUGAUACCAAAUGGGCAGAGGAAGAGAAAUGUCCUUCAAUUCCUUGAAAUGUUUUUCUGCUCUUGUUAAGAUAUCUCCUUGUGGAGGAGAACCUGCUGCUGCUGUUACCAUCUUUAGAACUGAAAACUAGAGAGACAUAAGAGUUUUUCUUUGUGCUUUAUCAACAUGCGAACUUCAGGGCACCAGGCAUAGGAUGGAGGAGACACGAGUUCAAUUCCUGGUCCAAGAAGAUCCCCUGGAGAAGGAAACGGCAACCUGCUCCAGUAUUCUUGCCUGGGAAAUCCCAUGGAUAGAGGAGCCUGCCGGGCUGUAGUCCAUAGGGUUGCAAGGAGUUAGACACAACUUGGUGACUGAACAACAG
ensembl:lncRNA